CCUCAGUUCCUUAUCAUUGUUCCUGUGCUCACAGCUGUUAGCUGUAGACCCCACAACGUGUUCCCUGAAGAGAGAAUGUCCCAGACCAGAGCUGUGAUCCUGAGAGUCCUCUCCUUGAUUUUCCUGCUGAGUCUCCUAGGAGCUGAGGCCAUCAAGGCGGACCAUGUGUCAACUUAUGCCAUAUUUACACAGACAUAUAGGUCAUCAGGGGAAUUUAUGUUUGAGUUUGAUAAAGAUUAGAUGUUCUACAUGGAUCUGGACAAGAAGGAGACGGUCUGGCAUCUGGAGGAGUUUGGCCGAGCCUUUUCCUUUGAGGCUCAGGACGGGCUGGCUAACAUUGCUAUAGCGAACACCAACUUGAAUGCCAUGAUCCAGCGUUCCAACUACACCCAGGCCACCAGUGAGCCCCCUGAGGUGACCGUGUUUCCCAAGGAGCCUGUGGAGCUGGGCCAACCCAAUACCCUCAUCUGCCACACUGACAAGUUCUUCCCGCCGGUGCUCAAUGUCACGUGGCUGUGCAAUGGGCAGCCGGUCACUGAGGGUGUCGCUGAGACCAUCUUCCUGCCCAGAACAGAUUACAGCUUCCACAAGUUCCACUACUUGACCUUCAUGCCCUUGACUGACAAUGUCUAUGACUGCAAAGUGGAUCAUUGGGGCCUGGACAAGCCGCUUGUCGGGCACUGGGAGGCUCAGGAGCCAAUCCAUGUGACUGAGACAACGGAGACUGUGCUCUGUGCCCUGGGCCUGCUGCUGGGCCUGGUGGGCAUCAUGGCUGGCACCAUCCUCAUCAUAAAGGCUCUGCAUUCUGGUCAUGACCCCAGAGCCCGGGGGCUCCUGUGGGCUAUUGUCAGAGGAAAAGAGGAGGGAGCCUAGGAUCUGUACUAUAUAAUGAAUGAAGGAAAAAUUCUAUUUCAUAAAUAUACAUUGAUCUCUUAAUGACUUAAAAGCAUCAGACUGCAUAAUAACAACACUGAUAAUUUACUGAGCAUUUAAUAU